rnacentral:rRNA from 1 species
AAUAUUGGACAAUGGGCGCAAGCCUGAUCCAGCCAUGCCGCGUGUGUGAAGAAGGCCUUCGGGUUGUAAAGCACUUUUGUUGGGGAAGAAAAGAUCUGGGUUAAUAACCCGGGUUCAUGACGGUACCCAAAGAAUAAGCACCGGCUAACUACGUGCCAGCAGCCGCGGUAAUACGUAGGGAGCAAGCGUUGUUCGGAUUUACUGGGCGUAAAGGGCGCGUAGGCGGCGUGUCAAGUCAAUUGUGAAAUCUCCGGGCUUAACUCGGAACGGCCAAUUGAUACUGUCAUGCUAGAGUGCAGAAAGGGCAAUCGGAAUUCUUGGUGUAGCGGUGAAAUGCGUAGAUAUCAAGAGGAACACCUGAGGCGAAGGCGGGUUGCUAGGCUGACACUGACGCUGAGGCGCGAAAGCCAGGGGAGCAAAC